rnacentral:lncRNA from 1 species
CUAAAAGAAAAAUUAGUAUGGAUAGAAAAAACCUUAGAAAAUUUAGAUAAAAGUACAUGUGAUAGUUUAUAUAAUUUAAAAAACUCACUACGAGAAGAACAACAUAAAAUAAUAAAUAACAUUGAAAAUCUAGAAUUAGAUAUAUAUUAUAGCACAGAUAGAAUAAAUUAUUAUACAAGAAUUUGUAACUCUGUAAUUACUACAGGAUAAAAUAAUUAAUGAAUAUAUCUUACGAAAAAAGUAAAUUAUUAAAAGAUAACAUCCACGCACUAAAUAAAAAUAGAUUCCCUACAAAUGAUAUAUGUACAAAAUCUAUUAUACC